AAGGUGUGAUAUCUCUCCUAACCAGCUGGUUAAUGUUCCCUUCACUAAGGUGUGAUAUCUCUCCUAACCAGCUGGUUAAUGUCACUAAGGUGUGAUAUCUCUCCUAACCAGCUGGUUAAUGUUCCCUUCACUAAGGUGUGAUAUCUCUCCUAACCAGCUGGUUAAUGUCACUAAGGUGUGAUAUCUCUCCUAACCAGCUGGUUAAUGUUCCCUUCACUAAGGUGUGAUAUCUCUCCUAACCAGCUGGUUAAUGUUCCCUUCACUAAGGUGUGAUAUCUCUCCUAACCAGCUGGUUAAUGUCACUAAGGUGUGAUAUCUCU